rnacentral:miRNA from 1 species
AGUUCACUGACACAAAACCUGUUGAAGUUAAUCAAAGUCUUUUUCCAUUGACUUCAGUGGUGUUUGGAUCAUGACUUUAAUU